rnacentral:rRNA from 1 species
UGGGGAAUAUUGCACAAUGGGCGCAAGCCUGAUGCAGCAACGCCGCGUGAACGAUGAAGGUCUUCGGAUCGUAAAGUUCUGUUGCAGGGGAAGAUAAUGACGGUACCCUGUGAGGAAGCCCCGGCUAACUACGUGCCAGCAGCCGCGGUAAUACGUAGGGGGCUAGCGUUAUCCGGAUUUACUGGGCGUAAAGGGUGCGUAGGUGGUCUUUCAAGUCGGUGGUUAAAGGCUACGGCUCAACCGUAGUUAGCCUCCGAAACUGGAAGACUUGAGUGCAGGAGAGGAAAGUGGACUUCCCAGUGUAGCGGUGAAAUGCGUAGAUAUUGGGAGGAACACCAGUAGCGAAGGCGGCUUUCUGGUCUGCAACUGACACUGAGGCACGAAAGCGUGGGUAGCAAACAGG